rnacentral:rRNA from 1 species
GACGAACGCUGGCGGCGUGCUUAACACAUGCAAGUCGAACGCUGAAGCUCAGCUUUUGUUGGGUGGAUGAGUGGCGAAUGGGUGAGUAACACGUGAGUAACCUGCCCCCUUCUUUGGGAUAACGCCCGGAAACGGGUGCUAAUACUGGAUAUUCACUGGUCUUCGCAUGGGGGUUGGUGGAAAGGGUUUUUCUGGUGGGGGAUGGGCUCGCGGCCUAUCAGCUUGUUGGUGGGGUGAUGGCCUACCAAGGCUUUGACGGGUAGCCGGCCUGAGAGGGUGACCGGUCACAUUGGGACUGAGAUACGGCCCAGACUCCUACGGGAGGCAGCAGUGGGGAAUAUUGCACAAUGGGCGCAAGCCUGAUGCAGCGACGCCGCGUGAGGGAUGGAGGCCUUCGGGUUGUGAACCUCUUUCGCUCAUGGUCAAGCCGCAACAAUGGUUGUGGUGAGGGUAGUGGGUAAAGAAGCGCCGGCUAACUACGU